rnacentral:misc_RNA from 1 species
CAGCCCUCAGGGCUCUCCGGCACUGGUCGGGGGGCGCUGGUGUUGGGGAUCGGCCGCCGCAGCGGCUGCCGUCCCCGAAAUCUAGUGGCGGUCUCACCGUGACCUCCCCUGUGCAGUACUGAGCUCGCAGAGGGACAGCGGUGCGGCCACGCCGUAAAACGCCCAAACUCCAU